rnacentral:lncRNA from 1 species
GCUUCGAGUGGCGCCUCCGUAGACACGGUGAUUCGGGAGCUGAUGAGCACAUUCAUGCCCGUCUUCCAUAGCCUUUCAUCUCGCCGUCAUUUACUGUGCACCUGCUAUGUGCCAGGCGGUGUGCCGACUCUGCGUGGAUACAGAGAGGAAAUCUUCCCUGACCCUAAGGAGCUCUUACUUAAAAGACUAUGAUUACCAGGCUUGGUAAUACAGUGGCCUCAGUGUCAUCCUUACUGAGUCGCCUUGAGGAGCAAGUGAUCUUUAUGCAA